UACGUAGGGUGCGAGCGUUAAUCGGAAUUACUGGGCGUAAAGCGUGCGCAGGCGGUUUUGUAAGCCAGAUGUGAAAGCCCCGGGCUUAACCUGGGAAUGGCAUUUGGGACUGCAAGGCUAGAGUGCGGCAGAGGAGACUGGAAUUCCUGGUGUAGCAGUGAAAUGCGUGGAUAUCAGGAGGAAUACCGAUGGCGAAGGCAGGUCUCUGGGCUGACACUGACGCUCAUGCACGAAAGCGUGGGGAGCAAACAGG
rnacentral:rRNA from 1 species